rnacentral:lncRNA from 1 species
GAUGCAGACCUGGGUUGCUCUGUCCUAAGCUGACCCCACACGCUGGCGUUUUGAAGGUGGCCUGGCUGGGCAGUGUGAUUUUUUUUUUUUUUCCAGGGAUGGCCCAAACAUUUGUGAAUUUCAGCACUUUGGCUUUUAUUCAGUGUGAUUUGAGGAAGAGCCCAUCUGAAAGUUCUUCAAACAACUGUAAAUCAAGGGAAUUGAUUGUAUGGAACAAAAGCACGGUGACAAGAGAACUGGAACAGGAUUAAUUACCUAGUUUAUUGAAACAGUGUACAAAUAUCU